AUUGAACGCUGGCGGCAGGCUUAACACAUGCAAGUCGAGCGAGCGGCGGACGGGUGAGUAAUGUCUGGGAAAAUGCCUGAUGGAGGGGGAUAACUACUGGAAACGGUAGCUAAUACCGCAUACAAUCAGAUGUGCCCAGAUGGGAUUAGCGAGGGGGUGAGGUAAUGGCUCACCAAGGCGACGAUCUCUAGCUGGUCUGAGAGGAUGAUCAGCCACACUGGGACGGAGACACGGCCCAGACUCCUACGGGAGGCAGCAGUGGGGAAUAUUGCACAAUGGGCGCAAGCCUGAUACAGCCAUGCCGCGUGUAGGAAGAAGUCCCUCGGGUUGUAAAGUACUUUCAGUCGGGAGGCGUUACCGACAGAAGAAGCACCGGCUAACUCCGUGCCAGCAGCCGCGGUAAUAC
rnacentral:rRNA from 1 species